ensembl:lncRNA
CUGAAAUCUCUUCUGCAUUACCAGUUUGAAAAAGUCUUUGUGGCAUGUUUUCCAAGCCACUGUGGUAGCACUAUUGUGACAUGCUGUCUGCAAUUACUCAAGUUUGCUUAAUCAAAGGUCCUUUUUUUUCUAUUUCUUCAUCCACAGACACAAAAGGACCAGGUGAGCUGUGCCUUUCACUAAUCCAAAAGGCUUCAUUUCUUCCUCUUUACUACAAAAUCAUGCAUUCUUUUGAGGGUUGCUGUCAGCUUCGGUGAAACGACUUAAUCAACUUCCCUAAUUUACUUCCUGAUAUCACUAUUUUGUUAGUGAAAGGUUUUGCAGAAGAAACCCUUGGGAACUGUCUCUUGGGGCACACCAGCUUCUGCACUGACAUAUCUUGGCUGGUAGUAGUGUGUUUGGCACGCUGUGAAGAUGAGCUCAAAAUGUUGUUUAUUAUGCAUUUUUAGGGAGGAAAUGUGCAUUCAUUGCACUAAGAGAUGAAGUGGAAAAAUAAUUGCAUUGGAACAGCUACAAAUGACAGGCAAGCAUCUACAAAGUAUGCCACUUUCAUAGCUGUUGUAGGGAAGCAGUGUAGGAUAAAGACCAACCAAGAAUGUCCUUGAAGGCACCCCUUCAAUCCUGGACAGACUUACCUGAAUCCAAAUCCUCUAGCGGUCACGGAAAGUGUUCCAUAUUUCAAAAAUAUCAACGUAAUUUUACUCCUACUCCUGCAGCUGACCCAAGGAAAACAGUUGGGUGUGUUGAACUGGUGGCCCUUUGCUCUAUGCUUCAAGAAAGAAGAAUGUCACAUGGCUUAGAGGAAACGUGUGUUGACUGCGAUGUGUUUUUGAACUAUGCCACUGCAUGGUACAUGCGCUAUUCAGAAACUGCCACUGGUACAAAAUACAACAGCUCAGUUAAUCUGUGAUAUGGGUUCCCUAGAAAAGUUCCCAGGACUCUAAAUAAUCUGUUUUAGCACCUUUGGUUUAUAAUUAAUAGCUUCAUUGAGAUACAUUCCUGAAGGGUAGUAUAUAAAUAUCUGUAAGUUAUAGCAAAUGUAUGCUGAGCUGUGAUUUGCUAACCUGAACAAUAAAUCACUGCCCCAACAUAAAAAAGGCCUCCUCAAAAUAUAUAUCAGUGACUUCAUAGGGCAUUUUCAUCUGUGGGGACUUUACUAAUCUAUUGUCCUUCUCAAAACUUUGCACUUAUAUUGUAGAAAGAGAAAAAGAUAGCAGACAUACUGGGAAAUCAUACAGUAACAGUUGGGCGAGUGGGCUUAUUAAUAAAAAACCCUCACCAGAAACUUAUAGCAUAGUAACAUAUUAGCAGCAACGUGACCCAGCAGCAGUUGCCAAAAGUUAUUAAAAAGUACAAAAAUAUACAGAACAAUGUUAUAUCUUCCUUAGGAGGGUUUUCUUUAUAGCAAAAUAAUAUGGUUGCACUAUUUACAAAACAAGGUUUCCAUAAUACAAAUAAAGUUCUUUAUACUUCCUUCUAUGCUUCCACACUGGGCUUCUUUCUCAUGCAGAUAAACAGUUCGCUUUCACAGAGUCUCCUCUUGAUGAGGAACUGAAAAAUAUGGAUUUUAGACAUAAAUUGUAUGCACAUUAGAAGCAGUGAAAUUAGAAAAAUCAGACUCUCUCUGUGUUAGAUUUUAGAGAUUCACAAGCUGACAGGACAAGCUGGGAGAAGGGGGGCCUGUUUUCUAUACAUUCCAGUGUGAAUUGAUUCCUAGUACAGCUUGAUAGGCCAAGAGCGGCCUCUUGAUGGAUCCAGGACCGGUCGGAGAUAAAUUUAAAUAUUAAAGCGGGGGCGCUGAAAAGCGCCCCCCGCCGGCCCCGCCUCCUGCGCCCUGGCCCCGCCUCCCAACCAGCGUGCCCUGGCCC